GGCCAUACCACCCUGAAUGCGCCUGAUCUGUCUGAUCUCGGAAGCUAAGCAGGAUCGGGCCUGGUUAGUACUUGGAUGGGA
rnacentral:rRNA from 1 species